UAAGAACUGAAAGCAGCAACCUCCCUAGACUAGCCAGUAAGAGAGUAUGAACAAAAAGAAGUUAUGUGAAAAUGUCCAUAUCACCAGGGUUUUUUUCCACUGCUCCUGAAACAGAGUGACAGCCAGACUCCUUAGAGUAUGUCAGUGUUGUAUCUGAAGAUAUAUUAUUUUCUCUUCUGCACUCAGGAUUUGUCACCACAGAAGUCAGCUGAUAUGCACUAGCAUGUAGCCAAGGGUAUGUCCUCCUGCUCCAGUCUGGAGUCAUCCCCAUGCUGCACUGUGCUCCUCUUCAUGGGUUGCAGUGGCAUACCUACUCCACAGAAGUCCCACAGAGAAAUCCCUGCUUCUCCAUUUGUUUAUGAUGUAAGCUGUUUUACUUAUUUCUCAAAAGUGAGCUCGGAAAGAUGCUCCACAUACAGGAGAUGCUGGUGGCAGCCAGCUGCAAUCCAGGUCCCAGGAACUGUGGCAUAAGGGACAACAACAGAGUCUGAACCAGGAGCUGAAUGCAGUUGACUCCAGUUGUUCUACAGGAGUAGGAUGUAAAAGGACCUUAACUGACAGCUCAA